rnacentral:rRNA from 1 species
GACGAACGCUGGCGGCGUGCUUAACACAUGCAAGUCGAACGGAAAGGCCCUGCUUUUGUGGGGUGCUCGAGUGGCGAACGGGUGAGUAACACGUGAGUAACCUGCCCUUGACUUUGGGAUAACUUCAGGAAACUGGGGCUAAUACCGGAUAGGAGCUCCUGCUGCAUGGUGGGGGUUGGAAAGUUUCGGCGGUUGGGGAUGGACUCGCGGCUUAUCAGCUUGUUGGUGGGGUAGUGGCUUACCAAGGCUUUGACGGGUAGCCGGCCUGAGAGGGUGACCGGCCACAUUGGGACUGAGAUACCGCCCAGACUCCUACGGGAGGCAGCAGUGGGGAAUAUUGCACAAUGGGCGGAAGCCUGAUGCAGCAACGCCGCGUGCGGGAUGACGGCCUUCGGGUUGUAAACCUCUUUCGCCUGUGACGAAGCGUGAGUGACGGUAAUGGGUAGAGAAGCACCGGCUAACUACGUG